rnacentral:rRNA from 1 species
AACGAACGCUGGCGGCAUGCCUAACACAUGCAAGUCGAACGAGACCUUCGGGUCUAGUGGCGCACGGGUGCGUAACGCGUGGGAACCUGCCCUUAGGUUCGGAAUAACUCCCCGACAGGGGUGCUAAUACCGGAUAAUGUCUUCGGACCAAAGAUUUAUCGCCUUUGGUUGGGCCCGCGUUGGAUUAGCUAGUUGGUAGGGUAAAAGCCUACCAAGGCGACGAUCCAUAGCUGGUCUGAGAGGAUGGUCAGCCACACUGGGACUGAGACACGGCCCAGACUCCUACGGGAGGCAGCAGUGGGGAAUAGUGGACAAUGGGCGAAAGCCUGAUCCAGCAAUGCCGCGUGAAUGAUGAAGGCCGUAGGGUUGUAAAGCGCUUGUACCCGGGAUGAUAAUGACAGUACCGGGAGAAUAAGCUCCGGCUAACUCCGUG